ACGCUGGCGGCAUGCCUCAUACAUGCAAGUCGAACGAAAUCUUCGGAUUUAGUGGCGCACGGGUGAGUAACAUGUGGGAAUCUACCUGAAGGUUCGGAAUAACUGCGGGAAACUGUAGCUAAUACCGGAUGUGUCUGCAAAGAGAAAGAUUUAUCGCCUUCAGAUGAGCCCGCACUAGAUUAGCUAGUUGGUGAGGUAACUGCUCCACCAAGGCUACGAUCUAUAGCUGAUUUGAGAGGAUGAUCAGCCACACUGGGACUGAGACACGGCCCAGACUCCUACGGGAGGCAGCAGUAGGGAAUAUUGGACAAUGGGGGAAACCCUGAUCCAGCAAUGCCGCGUGAGUGAAGAAGGCCUUAGGGUUGUAAAACUCUUUCAUCAAUGAUGAUAAUGACAUUAGUUGAAGAAGAAGCUCCGGCUAACUUCGUGCCAGCAGCCGCGGUAAUACGAAGGGGGCUAGCGUUGUUCGGAAUCACUGGGCGUAAAGCGUAUGUAGGCGGAUCAAAAAGUUAGAUGUGAAAUCCCUGGGCUCAACCCAGGAACUGCAUUUAAAACUAGUGAUCUAGAAAUUGGUAAAGGUUAGUAGAAUUUCCAGUGUAGAGGUGAAAUUCGUAGAUAUUGGAAAGAAUACCAGAAGCGAAGGCGACUAACUAGGCCAUUUUUGACGCUGAGAUACGAAAGCGUGGGUAGCAAACAGGAUUAGAUACCCUGGUAGUCCACGCAGUAAACGAUGAGUGCUAGUCGCUGGGACAAUAGUUUCAGUGUCGAAGCUAACGCAUUAAGCACUCCGCCUGGGAAGUACGGU
rnacentral:rRNA from 1 species